rnacentral:tRNA from 2 species
UAGGGCAUAGUUUAAUGGUAAAACGAAGGUCUCCAAAACCUUUGAUGUGGGUUCGAUUCCUACUGCCCCUG